rnacentral:sRNA from 1 species
UUUUGACAUUUUUGUAACAGGCUGAAAAUUAAGGGUUUUUGGAGCCCAUCUCCAAAAAAGCGAAAUCCGCCGCCGGAUCGGGCGGUUUUUAGGAUUCGUUUUCCGCCGAAUCCGCAAGCAGAGGCUUCGGGGACGG